UUGUGGUGGCCGCCUCCAAUGCCAAGCCUAUGGUACACCCCCUAACACCUUGGCCGAAUUCGCACUUAACCAAUUCAACAACAUGGACUUCUUCGAUAUAUCUUUGGUUGAUGGAUUUAAUGUGCCCAUGGCUCUUAAUUCUACUUCCAAUGGGUGCACCCGUGGCAUCCAAUGCAGCGCCGACAUAGUCGGACAGUGCCCUGAUGAGCUCCGAGCUCCCGGUGGUUGCAACAAUCCAUGCACUGUUUUCAGGACCGAUGAAUAUUGUUGUUAUUCUGGGAACUGUGGCCCUACAACUUACUCCAAGUUUUUCAAGGAUAGGUGUCCGGUGGCUUAUAGCAACCCUAAUGAUGAUCAAACAAGCACCUUUACAUGCCCUGGUGGUACUAACUAUGAUGUUAUCUUCUGCCCAUGAUGCCUCUACUAGUCCUGUUAGACGAUUUGGUACCAUCUUGGGAUCCAAAUGUCUAGAAGAAUAAAUUUGAGCACAUGUCCAUGUCCAUAGUCAUGUAAUAAGAUUUCUACCAUCAUAGAAAUCGAAUGAUUUUCAGAGGGGUUAGAAGCUUUGAAUAAUGUUUAAAUGUGCUUUACUUAUAAAAGUUUAGAACUAAUUCUUCAUAAAAAUAAUUUUGUCCAAGUGUUAUUGUUUAAGAGUUUAUUUGAUAUUGAAUUAUGAAAGUAUUUUGAAUUAUUUUAACAUUUAAAAAAUAAUUUUUCUUUAAAUAUUAAAAAAUUUAAAAAUGCUUCUUAUAAUUAUUAUCAAAUAAACUCUAAAUACUAUAUAUUAAAAACAUAAUUACUAGAAUGACCUCUAAAUGAAUUCAUAUUUUAAGUACACCGAGAAUGAUAGAAUUCAGUAAUGGUGUUUUAAAUUAAAUUGGUAAAUAUUUUGGGAUUUUCCAUUUGAAUAAUUUUUAGAAGUGAAUAAAUUAUUUUUCAGCUCUAACAUAAACAAAUCCUGUUAUUGUGGUGUGGAAAAACCUUUGCUCAAGAGUCAAGAGCGGUGGUGGAGGCUUGAGUUACGUACCCAAGUUGAAUUUUUGUAAAAGGAUGUGGAGGAGUAGAGUACAAGGAAAAUUGAUUUGCGGACAAGACCAGUUAGUUAGUGAAGCUUGAUUAAAGUCGAAGUUUUGGUGUUUUCUCCCAAGACUUCCUUUGUAGUGGUCCAAAAAAUUGGUAAGGAAAUAUGACAGACAUCGAAAGAGGAUUUGGCUAAAAGUCAAUAACUAUUUGGAGCUAUGUUCCCUUCUCGGGGCGAUGGCGUUUGCUAGUAAUCUUUGACUCGCUCUUCCCCGUAGCUUCCAUAGCAGUCCAAACCGGUUGCUUGUUCAAGGAAAACACCGUAUAAAUAAGAGGGAAGUGGCUAAAAGUCUAACUAAUUAAAAUCGUAGUCAUUUAUUGUGUGGAAUAGCGGGACACAUACGUAUUGAAGUUGAACUUGUCCAUCAAUUAAAUCUAAUACAAUUUUCUUUUUCAAUCCAACUAUUACGUAAUAAAUUUUAAAUUUCAAAUAUAUUUGCUUUUAAAAUUUACUCAAACCAAUUUAAUAACUUACAAAUAACUAAUUCAAUAACUUGGACUUCUUUAAUAUAGUAUUGUCCAAGCAUAUAUUUGAUAUGUCUUUAAUUUAUUUUUAAUUGUGCUUCUAAGCUACGUUUGGUUCUCGAAAAAUUUGAGAGAAAAUUUAAAAGAAAAAAAUUACAGAUGAAAAAAAAUAAAAAAUAGUUUAAAUAUAAUAAAUUAUAUUUGAUUUGAUUUUCUAUUUUUUUUUAUAGUGAAACAAAAUAUGAGAAAACCAUUUUUAUUAAUAUUUUUUUUCUUUAGAACACUUUCCAACAUAACUUACCAUUUAUUUUUUUGGUCAUGCAAAAGUUGAUGUAAAAAAUAUAGUUAGUCUCUCUUAUAUCAUUCAUUUGAAAUUGAGUAGAUUAAUGGUGUUUGUUUUUUUGGUUUUUUACUUAAAGCAAUUUAGUUUUAGAAUUUAGGUUGUUUGUUUUUCUACUUUUUCAUGACUUAUUAUAAACUUUUUACUAAAUAGAAAAAGUCAAAAUAUGUAGCUUUUUCUAAGUAGGAAAAAUAACAUAUUGAUUUUUUUUACUUUUUAAUACUUAAUAGAAAUAAAAUACUACAAAAACAAAUAACCUAAUAUUUAACACUAUUAAGCAUUAAGGUUCUAUUUAGAAUUAAGUAAAAAAACAAACAUCAUCUUCACACUAAGUAAUAACCCUAUAUUAGUCCUAAUAAGUAAUAAAAUUCCUCUACUAAUACAUGGUAUGGAUAAAAUAUUUACUAAAUUAACAACAUGAAUGUAAGUAAUUUAGAUAUUAGUAGGAUAUAUUUUUGUCUUAAUUAUUUAAAAAUAUAAACAUAUUUAUAUUAGGUUCUUGCUUUUUAUAAAUAUUAAUUCAACAUUUUUAGUAAUUUUUUUUUUAAAUUUAAUAAUUACAUAACCAAAAGUAAAAAAAAAAAAAAAUCAUUUUAUGAUGAUUUUUUGUCAAUUUUCAAUGAUUUCUUUCUAGUUCUUUGUUUUCAGUAGGUUAUUGAGUUAAUAAAGAAAUAAUGAAAUAUAAUGUGAUUGGGUUUUGGGUAUUUUUUUUUUUUAUAAUUUGUUUAAAAAAAAUUAGAUAAUAAAAAUAUCAUAUAUAUAUAUUUUGUUAUAAAAUUUUUAAAAGGAAAAAAAUUGUUGCUAAAUAUGAUUUUCAAAAACAUUUAUCACAAUUUUAAUUCAAAAAAUUGAAAAAUAAAAGUGUAAUGGAAGAUACUACUAAUGUAGUACAAGCAAUAAAUAUUUUUACCCUUAGUUGUGAAAAAUAUAGAGGAAAGAAAUUUUAUGAUGUCUGUUUCUAGAAGGUUGUAGGAAACCUGUUUGCCACGCCAGCCUAUUAAUAUUUUCUUCUUCGAAAAUUAAGAAAUUAUGGCAUUUUUUUAAAAAAAAAUUAUGCUUAAAAAUAGUUUUUUAUUUAGAAUAUAAAACUUAAAUUUAAAGAAAUUGAGAAUAUAUUCUAAAACUGAAUUAUCUUUUAGAAUAAAUUUAAGGGUUUUUUUUUAUUAUGUUCUAUUAAAUAAUAAUUAUUAAAAAUAUGAAAAUUAUUUUUUUUUAAAAAUAUAUUAUAUAUGUGUAUGUCAACUUUAAGAAAAAUAAAUAAAUAAAUAAAUAUAUAUAUAUAUAUAUAUAUAUAUAUUUUAUGUCUGAGAUUUUAAACAAAAUUUUAUUUAUAAAAAUAAUUAAAAAUUAUGUUUUGCCUAACAUGCCUAUGUUCUAGUCGUCUACGGAGUUGGUUCGGGAUGGCAGUGGAAAAUAUACUUUAGAUAUUUUCUCUUCUCUAUAGUCAGAUGCUUCUGCGUAUUUUAAAUGGUAAAGACCAAAACUCAAUUAUGAUAUUAUCGAAAAUAGACCCAGUCCAAAGUGGUCAUUCAUACUGGCAUAGUUCCAGGAAGGUGAUCAACAUCAGGGCUGUCUCAUUCAAGAAAGGAAAUUUGCACCCACGUUUUCUAGAUACAUUCCUACUGUUCUGAUGAUUCGGUAUGCACGAAUUUAUGCAAAGGUUAGGCAGAUUUCUGAAAAUAAUAAAAAUGGUAAUGAAGUGGACCCUUCUCUCUGUAAAAUAUUUUAAAUAAAAAAUACUUAUUUUUCUAAAAAUAAGUAUUUUCAAUAUGUAAUAUAUGUUUUAAAAAAAAAAAUUAAUUUACAAGCUUAUUUAUUUUUAUUUCUUAAAAAUAUUAUCGGCUUUUGUUGAUAAGAUUUGAGGAAAGAAAAAGGGCCACCUCACAUCGACUCUUCCAUGCCCGCAGGCCCCAACGAAGUCGACCACAAAGAUGACGCUAUCUUUUGGAAUUUUUACAGGGAGGUUUUUUCACAUACACACCAACCCAAGCCCACCUUCACCCUAUAAAAACCCCCACCCGGUUCCUCACAGAUCACCCCACUCCAACCAUCAAGCCUAUAUAUCUUCCGAAACUCAACAAUGGGCCUCUGCAAAAUCCUCUCCAUUUCCUCAUUCCUUCUCACCACCCUAUUCUUCACCUCCAGCUAUGCAGCUACGUUCAACAUCCAAAACCAUUGCUCCUACACGGUUUGGGCUGCGGCAGUCCCAGGCGGGGGCAUGCAGCUUGGCUCAGGCCAAUCCUGGAGCCUCAAUGUGAAUGCCGGCACCACUGGAGGCCGUGUUUGGGCCCGUACCAACUGCAACUUCGAUGCGUCAGGGAAUGGGAAGUGUGAGACCGGGGACUGUGGUGGCCUCCUCCAAUGCACGGCCUAUGGUACACCCCCUAACACCUUAGCCGAAUUCGCACUUAACCAAUACAGCAACUUGGACUUCUUUGAUAUAUCUUUGGUUGAUGGAUUUAAUGUUGCUAUGGCCUUUAAUCCUACUUCCAAUGGGUGCACCCGUGGCAUCAGUUGCACCGCCGACAUCGUGGGAGAGUGCCCCGCUGCGCUAAAGACUACCGGUGGUUGCAACAACCCAUGCACCGUUUUCAAGACCGAUGAAUAUUGUUGCAAUUCUGGGAGCUGUAAUGCUACAACUUACUCCGAGUUUUUCAAGACUAGGUGCCCUGAUGCUUAUAGCUACCCUAAGGACGAUCAGACAAGCACCUUCACAUGCCCUUCCGGGACCAAUUAUGAAGUUAUCUUCUGCCCAUAAAUCUAUUAUUUAAAUCAUAUGCUAGUAUGCCUCUACUGGUCUCAACUAUUAGGAGGCAAUGGUAUCCACCUUGGGUUCCAAAAGCCUAGAGGAAUAAAGUUGAGCCCAUAUUCGUGGUCAUGUAUUAAGAUUUCUACACUAGUCGAAGCAAUGGAUGCCUUUUUUUAUAUAGAUAUAUGCUAUCUUCUUCUUCUAAUCUCUGUGGUCCCUUCCAAGUAACAUUUCAUAUAGAUAUAUGAAUUUUAAUGAUUAUUCUUCUUCAGAAUUCUUUUUUUUUUUUUUUUUGAAAAUGAAAUUAAGCUUAACAUGAACAAAAUUCUGCUAUCAUGGUACGGAGAAAUCUUUGCUUGAGAGCGGUGGUUGAGGAUUGAGUCACCUACCCAAGUCAAAUUUUUGUAACAAUUAGAUGUUCAUCUUUAGAGUACUACAAGGAAAAUUGAUGUGAGGAUAAAGACCAGUUAACGAAGCUUGACUGACGUCAAAAUUUUAUUUUAUUUCCUUUUCUCUAAUCCUACCUUGUAGCGGUCCAAAUUAAUUGUCUUGACAAGGAAAUAUAACACAUAGCCAAGGAGGAUUUGCCUAAAAGCCAUCAUCCUGUUUGAAAACUACCUCCCUUAUUGUGCACAUGACACUUUUUCUAAGGGGAAUAAUCCAACCAUACAUUGGACCAAUAAAAUAAGUAUUUUUGGGAUUUUAUUUUUACCUUCACAAAUUGAGUGCGUAAAGUGCGGGGGAAAAAAACUCAUUCAUGCAUUUCAAUAACACUUGUGAAUUUAUUCCAAAAUUACAUUCAAAGUACACCUAUCAUUUUUUUUUACAUCAACUCUCUCACACCUCCAUUUCACCCGCCAUGUUCAUACGGUUUUUUUAUCUCUCACCAACAUAUUCAUAGUCUCAUGUAUUUUCUUAUAAAACAUCUUUAAUUUCAAUUUUUUUUUCACUCUCUAAUCUCUCCAUAUUUAUUGAUUUUAAUCAUUUUUUAGACACAUUAAACUUAAAAUGAUAAUAUAUAAUAAAUAAUUAAUAAUAAAAAAUUAAAUAAAAACAUAAUAUUUAAUGAACAAAAAUUAAAAUAUUAUCUCACAAAUAAUAUACUUGAUAAUUUUAAAUAUUAAUUAUAAUAAUGUUUAAGAUUUAAAUUUAAAAAUUAUGUUUUUAUUAUUUAGAGGCUUAUGAUAUAAUUUUUUUUAUAUUAAUACUAAAUAAAAGAUUUAUUGAUUUUGUAAAUCUUAUCAUACGUAAAAGUAAAAAAUAUCUUUGUAAUAUUAUUUUAUUAUUUUUAUUUUGAUAUAAAAUUUUUCAUUUGUAAUAUUAUUUUAUUAUUUUUAUUUUGAUAUAAAAUUUUUCAUAUCAAAAUCACAAUAAGUGAUAGUAGUUUUUUUUUUGUUAUGGUUUUAAUUGUGGUUUUAACUUUUUACUUGGUUAAAUUUUUUAAUUUUUUAUCAAGAUAAAAUAUAAAAGAAAAUAUGUUUUUUCAUAAAAAAAAAAUACAUUGUUUUAGGGAAAUUGAGAUACUUAUCUCUUUUAUCAUGAUGCAUAUACUCCUUUUGGAAUUCUCGGGAAGUGUUUUUAAAUUCUCUCCCACCUCGAAAAAGACUUUGAAACUUCAAGUAAGAAAAAUAAAUACAUCCUUUAAGAAAAAUGGAUUUUCUUUGAAUUGGUUGCCUCACAAUAUUUUAAAUGAUAAAGACUAAAAUUCAAUUAUGAUAUUAUCGAAAAUAGUCCCAAUCUAACGACUAGUCAAGAUAUUUGAAGUGGCCAAUCGUAUUGGAAGAAUUCCAGGAAGGUGCUCAACAGGGUUGUCUCAUUCAAAUAAGGAAAUUUGAAAUAAAUUUUCUCAAUACCAUGCACCCACGUUUUCUAGAUACAUUCCUACUGUUCUCAGAAUUGAGUGCUCAUGAAUUUACAUAGAAGUUAGGCAGAUUUCUGGAAAUAAUAAAAAUGAUAAUCACGUAGAACCUUGUCUCUGUAAAUUAUUUUAAAUAAAAAAUACUUAUUUUUCUAAAAAUAAGUAUUUUCAAAAUGUAAUAUAUGUUUUUUUUUUUUUUAAAUAAUAAUAAUUUACAAGCUUUUUUAUUUUUAUUUCUUAAAAAAAUUAUGGGCUUUUGUUGAUAAGAUUUGAGGAAAAACAAAAAGGGCCACACUACAUUGACUCUUCCAUGCCUACAGGCCACAACGAAGUCGACCACAAAGAUGACGCCAUCUUUUGGAAUUUUUACAGGACGGUUUUUCCACAUACACACCAACCCAAGCCCACCUUCACCCUAUAUAAACCCCCACCCAUUUCCUCACAGAUCACCCCACUCCAACCAUCAAGCCUAUCUUCCGAUCCUCAACAAUGGGCCUCUGCAAAAUCCUCUCCAUUUCCUCAUUCCUUCUCACCGCCCUAUUCUUCACCCCCAGCUAUGCAGCCACCUUCAACAUCCAAAACCAUUGCUCCUACACGGUUUGGGCUGCGGCAGUCCCAGGCGGGGGCAUGCAGCUUGGCUCAGGCCAAUCCUGGAGCCUCAAUGUGAAUGCCGGCACCACUGGAGGCCGUGUUUGGGCCCGUACCAACUGCAACUUCGAUGCAUCAGGGAAUGGGAAGUGUGAGACCGGGGACUGUGGUGGCCUCCUCCAAUGCACGGCCUAUGGUACACCCCCUAACACCUUAGCCGAAUUCGCACUUAACCAAUUCAGCAACUUGGACUUCUUUGAUAUAUCUUUGGUUGAUGGAUUUAAUGUGCCUAUGGCCUUUAAUCCUACUUCCAAUGGGUGCACCCGUGGCAUCAGUUGCACCGCCGACAUCGUGGGAGAGUGCCCCGCUGCGCUAAAGACUACCGGUGGUUGCAACAACCCAUGCACCGUUUUCAAGACCGAUGAAUAUUGUUGCAAUUCUGGGAGCUGUAGUGCUACAGAUUACUCAAGGUUUUUCAAGACUAGGUGCCCUGAUGCUUAUAGCUACCCUAAGGACGAUCAGACAAGCACCUUCACAUGCACUGCCGGUACCAAUUAUGAAGUUGUCUUCUGCCCAUAAAUCUAUUAUUUAAAUCAUAUGCUAGUAUGCCUCUACUAGUCUCAACUAUUAGGAGGCAAUGGUUUCCACCUUGGGUUCCAAAAGCCUAGAGGAAUAAAGUUGGGCACAUUUUCGUGGUCAUGUAACAAGAUUUCUACACUAGUAGAAGUAAUGGAUGUUUUUUUUUUUUAUAUAUAUAUAUAUAUAUAUAGAUUUAUGCGAUCUUCUUUCUUUCUAACCUCUAUGGUCCCGUCCAAGUAAUAUUUCAUAUAUAUUUUAUUCUAUAUAAUAUCUGCGGAUAAGAUCGGUUAAUGAAGCUUGACUAAAGUCAAAAUUUUAUUUUAUUUCAUUAUCCUACUUGGAAACUACCUUCCUUACUGGGUACAUGGCAUUUUUUUUUUAAUAAUAUUUGACUCAGGUUUCCGAGAAAACAUUGUAGCAGUCCAAACACGGCGUAAAUUGGGACUUUUCUCAAUAGUAGAGUAAUUUAAAAAAGUUAUUCUUCAAUUACUGUAGUGGAAGAAGUUAUUACAAAUAUAGGGUAGUUUUUGCCAGAUAGGAGAGAGGAGAGAGGAGAGAGGGUGAGAGAGAGGAGAGAGGAAAGAGGAGAUAGGAGAGAGGAGAGAGGAGAGAGGGUGAACGGGUAAAAUUUUUUAAAAAAGGGAACUCGUCUCUUGAAGAGACGAGUUCCAUGAAAAAAAAUAUAUAUAUAAUUUUUAAAAAAUUCUCAAAUUAAAAAAAAAAAAAUUGGAACUAAAGGCUUGACACGAGUUCCCAUGGGAAAAAUAUAUAUUAUUUAUUUAAAAUAUAUUUUUCAUUUAAAAAAAAUCCCAAAAAAAAUAAAAAAUAAAAUUUCUAAAAGGAACUCGUCUCUUUUUUAAAAAAAAUAUAUUUUUUAUUUUAAAAUCCCAAAUUUAAAAAAAAAAAACGCAAUUCCAAAAGGAACUCGUCUCUUUAAAAAUAUAUAUAUUUAAAAAAAAAAAUUCCUAAAGGGAACUCGUCUCUUGAAGAGACGAGUUCCCUUUAGGAAAAAAAAUAUUUUGUUUUUAAAAUAUAUUUUUUAUUUUAAAAAAUCCCAAAUAAAAAAAAAUAAAAAAUAAAAAACAAUUCCAAAGGGAACUCGUCUCUUCAAGAGACGAGUUCCCAUGUAAAAAAAAAUAUUUUUUUAAAAAAUAUAUAUAUUUAAAAAAAAAAAUUCAGAGUUACUUUAGGAAAAAAAAUAUUUUUUUUUUAAAAUAUAUUUUUUAUUUUAAAAAAUCCCAAAUUUAAAAAAAAAAAAACACAAUUCCAAAGGGAACUCGUCUCUUCAAGAGACGAGUUCCCAUGUAAAAAAAAUAUUUUUUUUAAAUAUAUAUAUUAAAAAAAAAAAAACAAUUCCUCAAAAUUCCUAAAGGAACUCGUCUNNNNNNNNNNNNNNNNNNNNNNNNNNNNNNNNNNNNNNNNNNNNNNNNNNNNNNNNNNNNNNNNNNNNNNNNNNNNNNNNNNNNNNNNNNNNNNNNNNNNAAAGGAACUCGUCUUUUGGAAGAGAACGAGUUCCCAUGUAAAAAAAAAAAAAAAUUUUAAAAAAAAUAUAUAUUUAAAAAAAUAAAAAUUCAGGGUUCCCUUUAGGAAAAAAAAUAAUUUUUUUUUAAAAAAAAUAUUUUUUUUUUUAAAAAAUCCCCAAUUAAAAAAAAAAAAAAAAAAAAAAAACCCAAUUCCAAAGGGAACUCGUCUCUUCAAGAGACGAGUUCCCUUGUAAAAAAAAUUAUUAUUUUUAAAUAUAUAUAUAUUAAAAAAAAAAAAAAAAAAAAACAAUUCCUCAAAAUUCCUAAAGGAACUCGUCUCUUCAAGAGACGAGUUCCCAUAUAAAAAAAAAAAUUAAAAAAAAAUAUAUAUUUAAAAAAAUAAAAAUUCAGAGUUCCCUUAGGAAAAAUAAUAAUUUUUUAAAAAAAUAUAUUUUUUAUUUUAAAAAAUCCCAAAUUAAAAAAAAAAAAAAAAAAAAAAAACACAAUUCCAAAGGGAACUCGUCUCUUAUUUUUUUUUUUUCCAUAGGAACUCGUCUCUUCAAUAGACGAGUUCCCUUGAUGAAUUGUUUUUUUUUUUUUUUUUUUUAAAUAUAUUUUUUUAAAAAAAAUUUGUUUUUACGUGGGAACUCAUCUUAAAGAGACGAGUUCCCUUGAGGAAUUGUUUUUUUAUUUUAUUUUAUAUUUUAUUUUAAUAUAUAUAUUUUAAAAUAAAAAAUAUUUUUAAGAGACGAGUUCCUUUGGAAUUGUGUUUUUUUUUUUUUUUUUUAAUUUGGGAUUUUUUAAAUUUUUUAAAAAAAUAAUUUUUUUUCCUAAAGGGAAUUCUGAAUUUUUAAUUUUUUAAAUAUAUAUAUUUAAAAAUUUUUUUUUUUUUAAAAAACAAAAAUUUUUUUUAAAAAAUAUAUAUAUUUAAAAAAAAAUUAUAUUUUUUNNNNNNNNNNNNNNNNNNNNNNNNNNNNNNNNNNNNNNNNNNNNNNNNNNNNNNNNNNNNNNNNNNNNNNNNNNNNNNNNNNNNNNNCGUCUCUUCAAGAGACGAGUUCCCUUUGGAAUUGUGUUUUUUUUUUUUUUUUUUCUUUUUUUUAAUUUGGGAUUUUUUAAAAUAAAAAAUAUUUUUUUUUUCCUAAAGGGAACUCUGAAUUUUUUUUUUAAAUAUAUAUAUAUUUUUUAAAAAAAUAUUUUUAAAAAAAAAAUAUUUUUUUUUGUUUUUUUUUUUUUAAUUUGGGAUUUUUUAAAAUAAAAAAUAUAUUUUAAAAAAAAAAUAUUUUUUUUCCUAAAGGGAACUCGUCUCUUCAAAAAACAAGUUACCUUUAGGAAUUUUUUUUUUAAAUAUAUAUAUUUUAAAAAAAAAAUAUUUUUUUUACAUGGGAACUCGUCUCUUCAAAAGACGAGUUCCUUUUGGAAUUGUGUUUUUUUUUUUUUUUUUUUUAAUUUAGGAUUUUUUAAAAUAAAAAAUAUAUUUUUAAAAAAAAUUAUUUUUUUUCCCAAGGAACUCGUCUCUUGAAGAGACGAGUUCCCUUUAGAAAUUUUUUUUUUUUUUUUUUGGAUUUUUUUAAAUAAAAAAUAUAUUUUAAAUAAAUAAUAUAUUUUUUUUCCCAGGGAACUCGUCUGAAGCCUUUAGUUCCAAAUUUUUUUUUUUAAUUUGAGAAUUUUUUAAAAAUUAUAUAUAUAUAUUUUUUCAUGGAACUCGUCUCUUCAAGAGACGAGUUCCCUUUUUUAAAAAAUUUUACCCGUUCAUCCUCUCUCCUCUCUCCUAUCUCCUCUUUCCUCUCUCCUCUCUCCUCUCUCUCACCCUCUCUCCUCUCUCCUCUCUCCUCUCUCCUAUGUGGCAAAAACUACCCUAUAUUUGUAAUAACUUCUUCCACUACAGUAAUUGAAGAAUAACUUUUUUAAAUUACUCUACUAUUGAGAAAAGUCCGCGUAAAUUGUCAUAGCCCUUUAUUGCAGAGAAUAGUGGAAAAGAAAGUUGUUAAAAGUGGCAUAAGUAAUUCAAACCAUAACCCUAUAUUGAGGAGAGUUAUGACUUAUGACACAUAAAUAUUGAAGUUCCACUUGUCUAUCAAUUAAAUAAAUAUAUGUUUUAAUUUAUUUUUGUAAAAAAAAUCAAUAAGAUUUUUAAUAUUUAUUUUACUAAUUUUAUUUAAAGAACUUAUGAUUUAAAAACGAGUUUAAUAUGAUUUAGAUAAGAAAUAUUUUAAUAUUUAAUAUAAAUUUUAUAAUACUAAUAUUACCUAUUAAAAAUUAAGAUUUUGGUUGCACCAUCAACAUUUAGUUAAAUCUAAAAAUAAAAAACUAUUUCAAACAAAGCUUUAUUUAUUCAUCUAUCAUGCUAAUGGAGCCUCAGAAGUUAAAAAGAUUAACUGGGCCAUGGUUAUAGAAGCCCAAAAGAUUUAUUGAUGGGGCGGAGCAGGUGGGCCUGGCCUGCCAUGUGCAGCUGUAUUUUUUUGACUUGUCUUCAAGACAACAAGUCAACGCCUCCGUUCAAUGAAGCGGAUGUAUCGGAAAAACCCAAAAGCUUCAUUUUCCCCUCAAAACGCGUAAACCCCAAAAUGAGCUUCUUCUGCAACUGCAGCAACCUCUCUACUUCCUUCUGCCUCCUCAUCCUCCCGUUCUUCUUCACCUUCAUCCAUGCAACCACUUUCGAAAUCCAAAACAGCUGCCCCUACACCAUCUGGGCAGCCGCCGUACCCGGCGGCGGAAGGCAACUCGACCAAGGCCAGACCUGGAACCUUUCAGUGAGCUCCAACAUAACGGGCCGCAUCUGGGGCAGAACCAAGUGCAGCUUCGAUGAAGCCGGAAGGGGGAGCUGCGAGUCCGGUGGAUGUGGAGGCCUCCUUGAAUGCCAAGAAUAUGGUUCACCGCCCAACACCAUUGCCGAGUACACCCUAAACCAAUCCAACAAAACUGAUUUAUUCGAUGUUUCUCUGGUGGAUGGAUUCAACCUUCCAAUGGAGUUUAGCCCAACUUCUGAUGGGUGCAGAGGGGCCAAUUGUACAGGCGACAUUAACGGGCCGUGCCCAAAUGAGUUGAGGGACCCGGGUGGGUGUAACAACCCAUGUACCGUUUUCAAAAAUUCUCAGUACUGUUGCGAUUCCGGGAGCUGUGGCCCUACAACUUACUCCGAGUUUUUCAAGGAUAGGUGCCCAAAUGCAUACAGUUACC
rnacentral:lncRNA from 1 species